GCGUGUGUGAUGAAGGCCCUAGGGUUGUAAAGCACUUUCACUGGUGAAGAUGAUGACGGUAGCCAGAGAAGAAGCCCCGGCUAACUUCGUGCCAGCAGCCGCGGUAAUACGAAGGGGGCGAGCGUUAUUCGGAAUUACUGGGCGUAAAGGGAGCGCAGGCGGUUCAUUUAGUCAGACGUGAAAGCCCCGGGCUCAACCCGGGAGGUGCGUUUGAUACUGGUGAGCUAGAAAUCAGAAGAGGAUAGUGGAAUUCCCAGUGUAGAGGUGAAAUUCGU
rnacentral:rRNA from 1 species